rnacentral:rRNA from 1 species
UGACUUACCUUACUAUUAGUGUCGUCCAAAUCUGGUGCCAGAAGACUCGGUAAGGCCAGAGACGCAAACGUUAAUCGUCUUAAACAGGCGUAAAGGGUUUGUAGGCAGCUUUGAAUUUUCUCUUUUCCAAGUAAUUAGAUAAUUAAUCAAAGCUAGAAUCAAAUAGAGGUUAUAUUAUAUAAUGCUUAAAGUAGGUCUAAUAUCCUAACAGAUUAAGUGGAAUAUUAAAAGCGAAGGCUUAUUUACCAUAAAUGAUUGACGCUGAGAAACGAAGGUGAGGAUAGGAAAUAGGAUUAGAUACCCAAAAUACCCCUCUCUGUCAACGAUGAAUGGUGGUUGCUAAUUAUAAAAUUAGUAGCUAUGUUAACACGAUAACCAUUCCGC